AACAAUUUUGCAUUUUAUUAAAGAGGAUGAUUCAAAGAAAUAUAACUAUUUUCUAAACCACUUCAAAUCAAAUCUGUGUACAGUCUUACCCAAUGCAACUGACGGUGAUUGUUCUUCGGUCUUGAAAAGUUAGACGACACUGAUCGCCAACAACUUCAGCUAACGUUACAAAAGAAUCUGGUUGUAGUAUACUUCUGUAUAUACCUUUCAACCGACACAUCAUGUUACGAUCUCCAAAGUCUUCAUGGGCUGGUCCUUAAAAAAUUAAAAAAGGAAAUAACGCGUUUUUAUAUAUAGGUAUACACUAUACAUGUACGUGUAACAAAUAUUUAACUAUUGCAAUUUGAUAUAAUACAUACUUGAUGCAGAAAGGAUAAAUAGUUUUAUAGCAUCACGGAAUAGCGAUUUUCUAUUUUCUUCAAGUUCAUGCAACCCAUAUGGAGUAUCAACAUCUAUAAAAGGUAAUGAAUAACCGUAUAAAAAUAUUAUACAUAAAAUACAUAUAGUUGCUCGUGUCAUUAAUGAAGUACAAUUAUGUAAGUUUUUGUUCAAAUACUAUUAUGAUGAACUAGUAGUAAGUGAUUUUCCUAUACUACUGUAUUAAUUAAACAAGUAUAUGCCUUGAAAAUAUUCACUACUUUUAAGUGCCAGGCAAUAUGUUUUAAAAUUAUAGCGAAGCUUGUUUCACAGAUGCCAUUGAAUAAUUUUGUUUUUCUUUUACAAUUAAUAAAUAUAACGUAAGAACAAUGUUCACAGCAUUGUCACUAAGCAACGACGUAUCACUGGUUCAUUUGCAUAAAUCAACGGUACAUUUUUAAUAUCACAAUACGGUUUUAUAAGCUUUAUUUUUAUGUUUUAUAUAAUUAUAAUAACUACCCGUCGAAUCACCUGUGGGUCGUUUCCAACCCAACUUUCUCAUUGCAGUACGUACUAGACCUAGAAAAAAAUUUGAGAACAUUCUUCUUAUCUCAACAAACAUUAAUUUUAACAAUUUUGUCAUGACUAUAUUUCUAAUAUAUAUGAAAAUAACAAUUUAAUAUAUUAAUGUAUCUAAACAAGGAAUAUUAUUAAAGCUGUAAACAAAUUGUUUAAUACCUUAUACCUUAUCUACAAAACGUUAUUUUAAGUUUGAAUAAAUUAUAAAAAAUUAUUGAUUUGUUUUUUUUAUUUGAGUUUAAAGAACUGUCUACUAUUUAUAGUAGACAUAUUGUGAAAAAUGGAUUAGACGAAUUUAAAAGUUGUUAGCACUUAACUGGCAGAAUAACAAAAAAUAAAUAAAAUCUUUAUUCUUCUGCAACAUUUUCACUUUAAUUCUUGCCUUAAAAUAAUUCCAUUUUUUGUUUAAAUAACACAGGCAAUAAUAAUAUGUUUAUAUAUAUUUAUAUAUAAUUUUCUACAAAGACUUUUUUGAAGUAUGAAAUUGAUUAUUGGUCAAAUUUUUUAAUAUAUUGAUUCAUACUUCAAAAAAGUCAAAGCUCAAUAUCUCAAGAAAUAUCAAUUUUAGAUAUUUAUCUCAAAGAUUAUUUUAUGUAGAAAAUUAAAUUCCCCAUAAAUGUGUUAUUUAUAUUUUUUCUGUAAGUUUAGCCAUUGAUGAAAUAAAAACAAAAAAAAAAGAAA